rnacentral:lncRNA from 1 species
AAAUACCAACCAUUAAGGAACUAUAUUUGACCUAAAAAAAAAAAUACAUCUUUUGUAUAAUAUUUGACAAUAUUUUGUACAGUACAUAAAUAUUUGUUUUGCUUUUAAUAUAAAAUCAAAAAUGCUUCCUUAAUAUUUUACAAUUACAAUGAUAUUUCAUUUAAAAGUUGUAGUUUGAUUUCAGUUUUAAUAUCUUGUAGUCUGGUCUGGACAGAUUUAUUAGACGGAAUGGGAUUGGAAGAACAUUUGUUUUUAUGUUUUACACAUAAGUACCAGUUGAGCAUUUUUUACAUGUCAAUUAACUUAAUAUGAUAAGAUUUAAUAGUUACAAAUAAUCAUAAUUCAACAAUUUAUAAUACAACAGGAACCAGUAUAACUCAAGUUACAUCAAGUUACAGAAAAGUCAAAACAAAAGUCAUGUACAAAUUCAAGUAUAAUCUACCACUUUAGUAAAAAUCUGAAGAAAUUGUGGCCAAGAUUUCCCUUUCCUCAAUGAUGACACCUUUUGACGCCACCCUCUUUACUCCAUAAUGACGCCUUUUGACGUCUGUGUAAUACCUCAGUUGAACGGCAGCUUUGACUAGGAAAUGUCUGUAUCAGACUUAGAAAAAAAUUGUAUCCAAUAUGAAAAGGAUAUUCAUGAGAAUAUCUAACUUGAAUUUCAUUGAUGAAAUAUUUGUUUUCACAAUGCAUAAAUAUUUUAAACCUGAUGAUUUUUUUUUUGAAAAAAUCGUAUGCGAAUCUAGUAUGUACAAAAAAUAUCCAUGGAGGAAAGAGUUAAGUGUGUGAAACUAAAACAACUGAAGGUAAAUAGUUUCUUUAUUCUUCAAGUUUAUUGUUAAACUUCAAGUGCUUAAUAAAUAUAAUUCAUGAAUUUCUGACAGCUGUUGGGUAACAUGUUGUCAAUGCUGGGUUUUUUUAAGUAACAACCUGUAGUCUCUAACACUUUUGGAAAUAAAAUAGCAACGAAAAGAACAUGAUCAAUGAAAAUGAAAAAUUGCUCAAAACAGAUGCAUACAACUGUGAACACUUAAUACCCUUUUUUAAAUAAUCAAAGUGUCAUUUGGUAGUCUGAGUUGGAUUAUUAAGCCAGCAAUUUGUUCUUGUGAAUCUUAACAAUAUAACGCUUAUGUGGUUCCUUGAUGACAUGUUGUUGUAGAAUAUUGCAGUACAAAAAUUGAAUUUAUUUUAUUGUAAUAUGCACCUUGUGGCUUUGUCAAACUGGUUUUUCAAGCAGUACUUUUAAACAUGAAAAUUACAUUCUCAAGUUUAUAUCAUUUUUAGAAUAUAUUUUGGUUUUGAAUAAACAAUCUGAUAAAAACCUUU